UUACCUUAAAUUAGUUUUAAAAACUGAAUGAGCUGUAAUAGUGUUGCGUUUAAUGUAACGCUUGGAGAUAAUGCGGUACUAUAAAUGCAGCGUAAGUACAACUGCUGUUUCUACAAAUCGACCCAACUAUUUUGAAUUUUUAAACGCUGGAACAACUUGAACUGGAAAAAUUAAAUAAUAAUGUACCUCAUGAUUGCCCUGGAACCCAGAGUCAGGAUGCAGGGAAAACAGAUUCAUGCAAAGGAUGUCCUAAUAUGAAAAUAUGUUCAAGUGGUGAACUUAAAAAAGAAAUAGAUCUAAGCAAGAUAUUAUCUAACUUUACCAAUAUUCAAAGCAUCAUUUUUGUAUUGUCUGGAAAAGGGGGUGUAGGUAAAAGUUCAUUUGCAGCAAAUUUUGCAAGAUAUUUAGCUGAUCAUGAUCCAAAUAAAAAUGUUGGCCUUCUAGACAUUGAUCUGUGUGGGCCAUCAAUCCCUCAAAUGAUGAAUAUAUCUAACCAAAAAGUGCAUCAAAGUGCAAAUGGCUGGUCUCCAAUAUAUGUGCAAGAAAAUUUAUUGGUAAUGUCGAUAGGCCUGUUGCUGGAUUCCCUUGACGACGCCGUCAUAUGGAGGGCCCCUAAGAAAAAUGCCAUGAUAAAACAGUUUUUGGAAGAUGUCGACUGGGGUUACGAUAUAGAUUUCCUAAUAAUAGACACUCCACCGGGCACAUCAGAUGAGCACAUGUCAAUAUUUUCCUACUUAAAGCCUUGUCUAAAUGUUAAUAGUGGUGCUAUUAUCAUUACCACACCCCAAGAAAUAUCAUUGUUAGACGUAAGAAAGGAGAUAAAUUUUUGCAAGAAAUCCGGUGUACAUAUUUUGGGCGUCGUUGAAAACAUGAACAAAUUUGUGUGUCCUAAUUGCCACAAAUCUUCUUUCAUAUUUCCUAAUCAUUCUUCCAAUAUCAAACUAAUGCAACAGAAUGACACAUAUGGGCUAAAGAUUUGGCUAUCAAAAAACCGAAAAGACUGACCAGGUCGAUAUGCUAUCACUACAUAGCAUUUGCAUAUUGUUAAAAAAAUAUGUAGGGCCGGAAUUUACUUACUAGAACUGCUCCCAAGAUGGAGUAGAUCAAAUCAGUAAAGCGGUUAAUAUCGAAUCUUUAAAAAUCGAUCAUUUCCCCUCAAAUGAAACUAACGUACAAAAAAUGUGCAAGGAUAUGGGUGUAAAAUACUUGGAAUCCAUACCUCUGGAUAUAAAUUU